rnacentral:rRNA from 1 species
CGGGGGGGCAAGCGUUGUUCGGAAUUACUGGGCGUAAAGGGCUCGUAGGCGGCCAACUAAGUCAGACGUGAAAUCCCUCGGCUUAACCGGGGAACUGCGUCUGAUACUGGAUGGCUUGAGUUUGGGAGAGGGAUGCGGAAUUCCAGGUGUAGCGGUGAAAUGCGUAGAUAUCUGGAGGAACACCGGUGGCGAAGGCGGCAUCCUGGACCAACACUGACGCUGAGGAGCGAAAGCCAGGGGAGCAAAACGGGAUUAGAUACCCCGGUAGUCCUGGCCCUAAACGAUGAAUGCUUGGUGUGACGGGUAUCGAUUCCUGUCGUGCCGAAGCUAACGCAUUAAGCAUUCCGCCUGGGGAUACGGUCGCAAGGCUG